rnacentral:rRNA from 1 species
GACGUAGGCGGCUAGAUUAGUGGGGCGUGAAAUGUCUCGGCUCAACCGAGGACCUGCGCUUCAAACUGUCUGGCUUGAGUCCGGGAGGGGAGACGGGAAUUCCUGGUGUAGCGGUGAAAUGCGCAGAUAUCAGGAGGAACACCGGUGGCGAAGGCGCGUCUCUGGACCGGUACUGACGCUGAUGUCCGAAAGCGUGGGGAGCAAACA